rnacentral:misc_RNA from 1 species
UUUUGGCAUUAAUUCAGCACUAAACCCUGGAAGCAUUGAAAAUACCUACACAAAAUACCUAGUGCAUAUUCAGCAGAAAGCUUGUAGGUCACCAAUUACUACUAAUAUUAUUGUCAAUAAUUUUUUCUAUUACACAAACUAUUUGCAAUAUUACCGCAAACAAAACAAGCCCUAGGUUCAAUCUAACAGAGCAGAAAGAUUCAAAGAUGAGAACCUGGCCAAUAGGACCCAUUUUCAGUAUGUUCUGAAACUGCUCAUACAUAAUCCUCAAG